CAGUAGCCCCCCUGGAUUUCACCAACGCCAACAUCGCCCGCCUGGGGCUGGGUACCGCGGUCCUGCUCGUCCUGGGGCUGAUCCUGGCUGAGGCCCAUUACAGCUGCCCAAGGGGGGCGCCCUAGGAGCCUGGAUCCAGCCAUGCAGGGAAGAGAAUCUCCCCGGGGGACAAGUGGCUUCCCCAUGGGGUGCUGAGACACCGGCACAAACCCCCCUGCUCCCAAACACCCCUGCCUCA